AUCCAGCUGACUUGUCUCAAAUAAGAUGAAACAUGUUUCCUGGAU
rfam:Schistosoma curassoni strain Dakar, Senegal genome assembly, scaffold: SCTD_scaffold0004153